AGCAGUCGCCGCGGGAAUACGUAGGGCGCAAGCGUUAUCCGGAAUUAUUGGGCGUAAAGAGCUCGUAGGCGGUUUGUCGCGUCUGCCGUGAAAGUCCGGGGCUCAACCCCGGAUCUGCGGUGGGUACGGGCAGACUAGAGUGAUGUAGGGGAGACUGGAAUUCCUGGUGUAGCGGUGAAAUGCGCAGAUAUCAGGAGGAACACCGGUGGCGAAGGCAGGUCUCUGGGCAUUAACUGACGCUGAGGAGCGAAAGCAUGGGGAGCGAACAGGAUUAGAUACCCGCGUAGUCCCUGUCUCUUAUAC
rnacentral:rRNA from 1 species